rnacentral:misc_RNA from 1 species
GAUGAAGAACGCAGCGAAAUGCGAUAAGUAAUGUGAAUUGCAGAAUUCAGUGAAUCAUCGAAUCUUUGAACGCACAUUGCGCCCGCCAGUAUUCUGGCGGGCAUGCCUGUUCGAGUGUCAUUUCAACCCUCAAGCCCCCGGGCUUGGUGUUGGGGAUCGGCGUGCCCUCGCGGCGCGCCGUCCCCUAAAUCUAGUGGCGGUCUCGCUGUAGCUUCCUCUGCGUAGUAGCAACACUCGCACUGGAUCGCAGCGCGGCCACGCCGUUAAACCCCCCACUUCUGAAAGUUUGACCUCGGAUCAGGUAGGAAUACCCGCUGAACUUAAGCAUAUCAAUAAGCGGAGGA